rnacentral:rRNA from 1 species
CCUACGGGAGGCAGCAGUGGGGAAUAUUGGGCAAUGGGCGAAAGCCUGACCCAGCGACGCCGCGUGAGGGACGAAGGCCUUCGGGUUGUAAACCUCUUUCAGCAGGGAAGAAGCGAAAGUGACGGUACCUGCAGAAGAAGCACCGGCUAACUACGUGCCAGCAGCCGCGGUAAUACGUAGGGUGCAAGCGUUGUCCGGAAUUAUUGGGCGUAAAGAGCUCGUAGGUGGUUUGCCACGUCGGAUGUGAAAACCUGAGGCUUAACCUCAGGCCUGCAUUCGAUACGGGCAGACUAGAGUGUGGUAGGGGAGACUGGAAUUCCUGGUGUAGCGGUGAAAUGCGCAGAUAUCAGGAGGAACACCGGUGGCGAAGGCGGGUCUCUGGGGCCAUAACUGACACUGAGGAGCGAAAGCGUGGGGAGCAAACAGGAUUAGAUACCCUGGUAGUCCACGCGUAAACGGUAGGGCACUAGAUGUGGGGACCUUCCACGGUCUACUGCGUCGCAGCUAACGCAUUAAGUGCCCCGCCUGGGGAGUACGGCCGCAAGGCUAAAACUCAAAAUGAAUUGACGG